rnacentral:lncRNA from 1 species
UUUUUUUCGAUUGCCAUUUGCUUGAAAUAUCCCUUCACUCUCAGUCUAUGUGUUUCUUUAAGGCUGAGUGUCUUGUAGUCAGCAUAUCAUUGGCAUUAUUUUUUAUCCAUUCAGCGUUCUAUAUUUUUAAAUUGGAGAAUUUAAUUCAUUUACUUUUAAAGUAAUUAUUGAUAGGUAAGGACUUACUAUUGCCUUUUUGUUAUUGUUUUCUAGCUGUUUGGUAGAUCCAUCGUUCCUUGUUUCUUGCCCUGCUGUCUUUUGUUGUAUCUUGAUGUCUUUGGCUACAAGUCUGCUUUGACAUCUUUAUCAUGUUCUUUUGUGUAAUUACUACAGGUUUUUCCCCUUGUGGUUACCAUAGGCUUACAUAAAAUAUCUAAAUUAUAACACCCUAUUUUUAACUUAUAACAACUUAACUUCAAUAGAAUUCCUAAACUUCUACUUUUACUACUCCUCCCCCUCACAUUUUAGGUUAUUGAUAAUACAGUUUAGAUAUUUUUUAUAUUGUGUAACUAAUAACAGUUUAUUGUUAUGGGUAUUUUUAUCAUGUUUGUUUUUUGAAUUUUAAACUUAAGUUGUAAGUGAAUUUUGCAUCAUUACUGUAUUACAAAACCAAACUCUGAUUAUAUAUUUACCAUUUCCCGUGAAUUUUACACUACCUAUUUAUAGUUUUACAAUGAUAAUUAGCAUCCUUUCACUAGCACUCAAAGAACCCCCUUUAGCCUAUCUUCUAAGGCAGAUGUAGAAUGAUGAACUCCUGGAGCUUUUGUUUGUUUGGGAAAGUCUGUAUUUCUCCUUUAUUUCUGAAAGACAGAUUCUCUGCUUAUGCAAUUCUUGGUUAAGUUUUGUUCUUUCAAAGUUUUGAGUAUAUCAUCCCAUUCUCUCCUGGCCUGAAAAGUUUCUGUUAAGAAAUUCACUGAUAGUCUUAUGGAGGGUCCCUUGUAUGUAACUUCUCUCUUUUCUCUUGCUCUUUCCAAAUUGUUUCUUUGUCUUUGACUUUUGGCAAUUUAAUUAUAAUGUUCUCAGUGUAGCCCUAUUCAGGUUCAAUUUAUAGGAGAUCCUCUGGGCCUCAUGGCUCUGUGUGUCCAUUUUUUCCCUCAGUUUUGGAAGUUUUCAGCCAUUAUUGCUUUAAAUAUAUCUUCUGUCCCUUUCUCUUUUCUUCUUCUGGAAUUCCCAUAAUGUGGAUAUUGUUUAUUUUGAUUAUGUCCCAUAAAUUCUAUAGGCUUUCUUAACUCUCUUUCUUUCUGUGUCUUUCUCUCUCUUUCUUUCUUUCCUUUCUUUCUCUCUCCCUUCUACUCCCUCAUGCUCUCUCUCACUCUCUCACUCUCUCUCCCCCCUCACCCCAACUGGAUCAUUUCAAAUGUCCUGUCUUCUAGGUCACUGGUUGUUUCUUCUGCACAGUCGAGUCUGAUUUUGAAACUUUCUAUUAAGUUCUUCAGGUCAGUCAUUGUAUUUUUCACUUCUAGGAUUUCUAUUUAGUUCUUUUUUAUUUUUCUGAUGGUUUCUAUUUCUUUGAACUUCUCAUUUUGUUUAUGCAUUGUUUGCCUAAUUUCAUUUAGUUGUCUGUCUUUGUGUUCUUGUAGUUCACUGAAUUUCUUUAUGAGGAUUAUAUUGAAUUCCUUGUCUGAUAGUCCAUAUAUCUCUGUUUCUUUAGGGUUAGUUAUUCUGCACAUAAGGGGUUUUCUCUUCCAGAGUUAACAGGUUUACUUUAGCAGGGAAAUUCUUCAUAAGUCAGCUCAGUUUGGGUUUCUGGAUGUGUUAGCUGGUAAAG